AACGAACGCUGGCGGCAUGCCUAACACAUGCAAGUCGAACGAGAUCUUCGGGUCUAGUGGCGCACGGGUGCGUAACGCGUGGGAAUCUGCCCUUUGGUUCGGAAUAACAGUUGGAAACGACUGCUAAUACCGGAUGAUGACGAAAAUCCAAAGAUUUAUCGCCAGAGGAUGAGCCCGCGUAGGAUUAGCUAGUUGGUGUGGUAAAGGCGCACCAAGGCGACGAUCCUUAGCUGGUCUGAGAGGAUGAUCAGCCACACUGGGACUGAGACACGGCCCAGACUCCUACGGGAGGCAGCAGUGGGGGAUAUUGGACAAUGGGCGAAAGCCUGAUCCAGCAAUGCCGCGUGAGUGAUGAAGGCCUUAGGGUUGUAAAGCUCUUUUACCCGGGAUGAUAAUGACAGUACCGGGAGAAUAAGCUCCGGCUAACUCCGUGCCAGCAGCCGCGGUAA
rnacentral:rRNA from 1 species